UACAGAGGGGGCCAGCGUUAUUCGGAAUUAUUGGGCGUAAAGGGCGCGUAGGCGGCCAUGCGUGUCUUCCGUGAAAUCCCUCGGCUCAACCGAGGACGUGCGGAAGAAACUGCAAGGCUCGAGUCCGGAAGAGGGGGGCGGAAUUCCCAGUGUAGCGGUGAAAUGCGUAGAUAUUGGGAGGAACACCAGUGGCGAAGGCGGUCCCCUGGGCCGGAACUGACGCUGAGGAGCGAAAGCCAGGGGAGCAAACGGG
rnacentral:rRNA from 1 species